UACGGGGGGGGCAAGCGUUGUUCGGAAUUACUGGGCGUAAAGGGCCCGUAGGCGGCCAACUAAGUCCGACGUGAAAUCCCCAGGCUCAACUUGGGAACUGCGUCGGAUACUGGAUGGCUUGAAUUCGGGAGAGGGAUGCAGAAUUCCAGGUGUAGCGGUGAAAUGCGUAGAUAUCUGGAGGAAUACCGGUGGCGAAGGCGGCAUCCUGGACCGACAUUGACGCUGAACGGCGAAAGCUAGGGGAGCAAACGGG
rnacentral:rRNA from 1 species